AAGAUUUUAAGUUAAAUAAACUAGAAGCCUUCAAAGCUUAAAAUAAAUUAUAUUUUUAAAUCUUA
rnacentral:tRNA from 1 species